GAUCCUGGCUCAGGAUGAACGCUAGCUACAGGCUUAACACAUGCAAGUCGAGGGGAAACGAUUAUUGGAAGCUUGCUUCCGAUAGGCGUCGACCGGCGCACGGGUGAGUAACGCGUAUCCAACCUGCCCAUGGCUUGGGGAUAACCUUGCGAAAGCAAGCCUAAUACCCGAUACGCUUCAUAGACGGCAUCUGAAAUGAAGUAAAGGUUUACGGUUAUGGAUGGGGAUGCGUCCGAUUAGCUUGUUGGCGGGGUAACGGCCCACCAAGGCAUCGAUCGGUAGGGGUUCUGAGAGGAAGGUCCCCCACAUUGGAACUGAGACACGGUCCAAACUCCUACGGGAGGCAGCAGUGAGGAAUAUUGGUCAAUGGAGGCAACUCUGAACCAGCCAAGUAGCGUGCAGGAUGACGGCCCUAUGGGUUGUAAACUGCUUUUAUGCGGGGAUAAACUGACUCACGUGUGGGUCAUUGCAGGUACCGCAUGAAUAAGGACCGGCUAAUUCCGUG
rnacentral:rRNA from 1 species